rnacentral:sRNA from 1 species
GUGAGCAGGCAACAGGGAGGGCUGAAGGCUGUGCAGCACCCUGGUAUGGGGUGAGUGAGGGUGCCUAGAGGGUGCCCACAGAAGGGGAUCCUAACCCUGACCGAGGAGCCAGAGAAGUCUCCUUGGAUGAAGCGGUGCCUGGGCUAGGGCUGCAGGCUGGCUGGCCCUUGCCAAGACAGGAGAAGAGGGAGGUAUUCCGGGUGGAGGACAUAGUGGCUGCAAAGGCCUCAGGGAGCUGGGGGCAUUUGGCGUGCUCUGGGUAGCACAGUGAUUGAGUGUGCGCCUGGACUGGGCAUCCAGGACAGGGUCACCAAGAGCUUCGUGGACGAUGGAGAAGUUGCAAGGGGAUUUGCUGAUGGACAGCCCUGCCCGGCAGCGACUCUACUGGGCUUGUUCCUUGUCCGUUCCUUGAACAACGUGAAGUCAGAACAGCCAGAGGAAAUUCUGCCACCAUUUUCCUGGAGCUGGUCUGCAGCCCCUCCAGCUGGGAACCUGCUCCUGGAGUCAUCCCUCUGCAAGCAGAGAGCCCAGAGUGCCUCGGGGAAAAUUGGCUGAAUAAAAGGUAUAAAGACUUUCUCUAUUUUUCCUGAAUAGUUUUUGACAGAUAUGAGCAUGUUGAACAUCUCGGGAGCUGCAGAUAAUGAAAGCCAGGAGUUUCUGGGGUUUCCCAGCCACUGGAGGGAGGAAGAGUUUGGGGGCUGUGGAGGGAAGGCUUGGUGCCGUUUAGUACCUCUGUGUCGUCUUCUCUCUUGUCCCCCAUGGACGAGCCCAAAAUGUGCUGGGAAAGGCAGGACUGGGGGCCGGAGGGGCUGAAAGGGAAAUGGAUAAAUGGGGUAAGGAUGGAGGAUGAUUGUUUUUAGGCAAUUCUGGCUGGCCCGAGAAGCAGUGUCACCACCUUCCUGAUCCUUUCCCUCCCCCAACCCCAUGGUCCUCCACCCCAGGUGCUCCGUGCAUGGCCACCCAUCCCUCAGGCAGCCCCAGCUUGCUGGUCCAGGGUGGUCUGACUCAUCUCCAUGGCCUGGUCUCCUCGGGGAAGGGGCUUCAGAUACGGGCUCAGUUCCCAGUGUUGACCCUCGCUGGGGGACUGGCUACUACCGCCUGAGCCCAUUGGUCCAUUGCACCGUACCUCCAACCCCCAUUACCCACCUGUGGCUGACCCCCUCCACAGAUUCACUUGCAGAGUUUACUUUGGGGAGAUUAUUAUACAAGUACGAUGCUUCUGGACUUUCGAUGGGGUUAUGUCCUGAUAAACCCAUCAUAAGGUGAAAAUAUUGUAAGUCAAAAAUGCAUUUAAUGGACCGGGCAUGGUGGCUCAUGCUUGUAAUCCCAACACUUUGGGAGGCCAAGGUGGGCAGAUCACCUGAGGUCAGGAGUUCAAGACCAGCCUGGCCAACAUGGCAAAACCCUAUCUCUACUAAAAAUACAAAAAUUAGCCGGGCAUGGUGGUGGGUGCCUGUAGUCCCAGCUACUGGUAGGCCGAGGCAGGAGAAUCACUUGAACCCGGGAGGCGGAGGUUGCAUGAGCUGAGAUCACACCACUGCACUCCAGCCUGGUCAACAGAGCAAGACUCCAACUCAAAAAAAAAAAAAAAAAAAAGCAUUUAAUGCCCCCAAUAAACCCAACAAACAUAAAGUUGAAAAAUUCAAAAUCAAUCUUAAGUCAAACCUUCGUAAGUUGGAGAUCAUCUGCAAUGUAUAUUUAGUGUGAACAAAAUUAGAAAAUGCAGACUUGCCACGUGUUGGCAGCCAUCGGCCCUCAGGUGGCCUCUCUUCUGCUAGGUCCUGGGUCUUGGGUGGUGUGUGCACAAGGCCAGCGCUGCGUUUUUCAAAAAUCAGGACCGGAAAGUAGAUCCGUCAGAGUAUGAAGUCUUCUUCAGCCAAAACUAGAAAAGUUGGGCACUCUUUUUGUACCGCGUUUGCCCUAAGCCCACCCUUGGCUCAGAAGUGGGCACUGACCAAAUGACCUGGAGCUAGACCUGACAUUAGAGCUAGACCUGAGCUAGACCUGAGCUGGGUUCUUCCGUCCUAGAAGCAGGUCACCUCGUAGCCACUCAGGCUGAGGGCAGAGGCAGCUCGGGCUCUGCUCCCGGUUCUCCGGCUUUCCAGCAGGAAGAGGACAAAGAGACAGAACCCAGGGGGUCCCCUUCACAUGGCCUCAGGCUUCCCACAGUGGGCCGUGUGUAACAGGGUCCCCCCUACCGACUGGCUGCCCGUGUGUGUCAGGGUUAGAUGCAGUUUUCCGUGGGAAAAGACAGGAAGGCCGCCGGGUGUUGGCCUCACAGGCGCCCCCAAGUGUUCACCAUGAGGAGGGCAGCAGCCUUCACACAGCCGCCUCCUGAGAUGCCGCCGCUGUAAACUGAAUCUAUUUUACAGGGAAGCAUCAGAAGGAGACCCCAGGUGAGUCGUUUGUAGAAUAAAGAAUCCAUUUGCCGGGCCGGGCGCGGUGCCUCACGCCUGUAAUCCCAGCACUUUGGGAGGCCAAGGCGGGCGUAUCACCUGAAGUCAGGAGUUCAAGACCAGCCUGGCCAAUGUAGUGAAACCCCGUCUCUACUAAAAAUACAAAAAUUAGCCGGGCAUGGUGACAGGCACCUAUAAUCCCAGCUACGCGGGAGGCUGAGGCACGAGAAUCACUUGAACCCGGGAGGCAGAGGUUGCAGUGAGCCGAGAUUGCACCACUGCACUCCAGCCUGGGCAACAGAGCAAAACUCCGUCU